AGUCAAAGAACAACCAGGUCACCUUUCCGUCCGACCUCCACCAUGGUCCACCGCGCCGCAAAUCGCUUCCAGCGGUGAUGGCCGCCAAAAACAAAAAUCAAACAUAUCACCGGCCUCGUCUCGUUCUCCUGACCAUGAAUCUGUCACUAUUUUCUCAAAAUUUCACAUCUAAAGUCCUAACCAUAUUGUACACCUCAAGAACCCUAAAAAUUCAUCCACAAAUUACAUAGCGAAUAGCAAGAUUCAGAGCCCUACAUGUUAGGGUUUUGAUCCGCCUUGAUGAAAG
rnacentral:lncRNA from 1 species